rnacentral:rRNA from 1 species
AGGUAGUUGGUGGGGUAAUGGCCUACCAAGCCUGAGAUGUCUAGGGGGUGUGAGAGCAUGGCCCCCACCACUGGGACUGAGAUACUGCCCAGACACCUACGGGUGGCUGCAGUCGAGGAUCUUCGUCAAUGGGCGAAAGCCUGAACGAGCGACGCCGCGUGCGGGAUGAAGGCCCUUGGGUUGUAAACCGCUGUCAGGGGGGAUGAAACCGUAAGGUUGACAGAGCCCCAGAGGAAGCACGGGCUAAGUUCGUGCCAGCAGCCGCGGUAAUACGAACUGUGCGAACGUUACUCGGAAUCACUGGGCUUACAGGGUGCGUAGGUGGCUUGAUAAGCAGGGUGUGAAAUCCCUCGGCUCAACCGAGGAACUGCGCUCUGAACUGUCGAGCUAGAGUAUGCUAGAGGUGAAUGGAACAUCCAGUGGAGCGGUGAAAUGUGUUGAUAUUGGAUGGAACACCAGAGGCGAAGGCGAUUCACUGGGGCAUAACUGACACUGAGGCACGAAAGCCAGGGGAGCAAACGGGAUUAGAUACCCCGGUAGUCCUGGCCGUAAACGAUG